rnacentral:rRNA from 1 species
UGGGGAAUAUUGCACAAUGGGCGCAAGCCUGAUGCAGCCAUGCCGCGUGUAUGAAGAAGGCCUUCGGGUUGUAAAGUACUUUCAGCGAGGAGGAAGGCGUUGUGGUUAAUAACCGCAACGAUUGACGUUACUCGCAGAAGAAGCACCGGCUAACUUCGUGCCAGCAGCCGCGGUAAUACGGAGGGUGCAAGCGUUAAUCGGAAUUACUGGGCGUAAAGCGCACGCAGGCGGUCUGUCAAGUCGGAUGUGAAAUCCCCGGGCUCAAACUGGGAACUGCAUCCGAAACUGGCAGGCUAGAGUCUUGUAGAGGGGGGUAGAAUUCCAGGUGUAGCGGUGAAAUGCGUAGAGAUCUGGAGGAAUACCGGUGGCGAAGGCGGCCCCCUGGACAAAGACUGACGCUCAGGUGCGAAAGCGUGGGGAGCAAACA